GCACUGGUUUAGCUCAGCGGUUACUUCGUUCAACUUUCUCCUGCAGAAACAUGAUUCACCAUUCUCUCCGGGGGAUCGAACCGCGGGCGCUGUCCAGUGUUUUC
rnacentral:vault_RNA from 1 species